GACGAACGCUGGCGGCGUGCUUAACACAUGCAAGUCGAACGAUGAAAGAGAAUCCGAUCUCUUCGGAGUGAAGAAUCUCUGGAUUAGUGGCGGACGGGUGAGUAACGCGUGAGCAAUCUGCCUUACACAAAGGGAUAACCUCGGGAAACCGGGAUUAAUACCAUAUGAUAUCUAUUAACCGCAUGGUUUAUAGAUUAAAGAAUUUCGGUGUAAGAUGAGCUCGCGUCCCAUUAAUUAGUUGGUGAGGGUAACGGCCCACCAAGAUAGCGAUGGGUAGCCGAUCUAAGAGGAUGACCGGCCACAUUGGAACUGAGAAACGGUCCAAACUCCUACGGGAGGCAGCAGUGGGGAAUAUUGCACAAUGGGGGAAACCCUGAUGCAGCGACGCCGCGUGAGCGAUGAAGGCUUUCGAGUCGUAAAGCUCUGUCCUAUGGGAAGAUAAUGA
rnacentral:rRNA from 1 species